UGCUAUUCCAUGUCUGGUGUCCCCCCCCAUCUCCUGCCAGCUGCUUCACACCUGCUAUUCCAUGUCUGGUGGCCCCCCAUCCCCUGCCAGCUGCUUCACACUUGCUCCUACAGCUGUUUGUUCUCCUCAGUCUGAGUUUCAGUCACCAUUCUGUCCCUGUGUCCUCUUGGAUUUAUGACCAUUUGGUAUCCCUGGUCACUGUUUCCCACUUGGUGUUUGUAGUUCCCAGCUGCUCCAGUGCACUUUGGGUUCUGGACUCUCCUGUAAAUGGACUGCAGAGCCUAGGUGGCAGCAGCAGAAUGGAACUGCCAAGGAAGUCCUUACAUCUGACCAGCUAUUUGUGAACAGGUAGACACUUGAACAGCCAUCCUGGAAUGGCAGUGUGUUG
rnacentral:lncRNA from 1 species